UUCAGACUGAAAUGUGUAACAGGGAGUGACAGGUGUUGAUUUAACUUGUGUAAGGAUCAUUCUGGCUGCUGGGUGGUAUUCUGGCUGGAGGGGGCGUGAGAGACACUAUUUCUCUUCAGUUAGUUUCAUGUAGUUUGGCAUUUAACAAACAUGAUUCAACUGGUGAGACAGCCAGCCACCCCAGAACUGGGAGGAGGUUAGUCCUGGUCCCGAGAGAGCCCCGAGGAGUGACUGCUUCCUGCAGACUGAGCUCUGCCCCAAGGGGAGACGGAGGGAACACAAGCACUUCCCUGGGGCGUGUCCUUGUAGUCAGGGAGACAGACAAACACAGGAACCUGUUUAACACCACUCAACCACAGACCAGGAACACCUGCAAUAGAGGGUAGGACGUGACGACUUAAGGGCAAAAGCCUGUGUGGAGGUUUGAACAGGGCGGGGUUAGUAAGAGAAGCUUCUGGAAGAGGUGAGUAAGGGAGAGGGGCGGGCCGACCUGGCCAGAGGGAAGGCAGGAGGGUGGGAGACCCAACCUGAGAGGACGCAAGUGCCCAGGUGCCAGCCUUCCCCAAGGUCCGCCUGCCCCAGCAGAGCUCCUGUGCCCCUCCUGUAAUGUCUUCUCUUUCCAGGCUAGUUUGGUGUCCACGGUAACCAGCUCUCUCCCUUGUAAAGCUGGCCAAGGUCGCCUCCGUGGCGCUGGCCCUUGGAUUGUGCCCUGGCAAGGCAAGUUUGGUUUGGGAGCGUGUCUGGUGGCUCCAGACCAGAAUUGCCCUAGGAAAGGGGUCAUCGGAGCUGGGGGCCUCCCCACCAAUGCCCCCUGGGGCCCAGGGUUGGAAGGGCCCUGCUCCAGCUGCUUUACCCAGGCUCAUACUGAAACAUGGCUUUUAAUUCUCUGAACAUCAACAGGUGCAAGUGGGGGCAGCUGGCCUGAGGGGAGAGAUUUCCCUCGGAUGCUCUCACUCUUGGAAACAAAUUCAAAGUCUUUUCCUCCUCUUGGAGCCACCGGCUCACCCUCAUCUCCAUUUUAUUACGAGCGUUUCUUUUCCUACUUUACUAAAAAGUUAUUUGGUUUUGAAUAGAUAAUGUAUGUACACAGUAUAAAAUUUAAAAGAGAAAAGAUAUGUGAUAACUAAGCAUCCCCCUCCUCCUGCUUCCCAGACUCCCAGUUCUCGCCCCCAGAGGCUACCACUGUGUUGGGAUCAGUAUAUUUUUUGUAUUCUUCUUGCGGUAGCCUGUACUUCAAAUGCCCACCUAGUGUACACUUUCUCCCCUUUGUACACAAUGGCAGAUACUGUAUAAAAUGUUUGUAAUUUUUCUCACUUUGCAGUGUAACUGUUGGCGAUGGCUCUGCAUCAGUAAUAAAAAGUGCCUCAGCUCUGUCUCACAGAUGCACCGUGCUCC